rnacentral:rRNA from 1 species
UACGGAGGGGACUAGCGUUGUUCGGAAUUACUGGGCGUAAAGCGCACGUAGGCGGAUUUGUAAGUCAGGGGUGAAAUCCCGGGGCUCAACCUCGGAACUGCCUUUGAUACUGCAAAUCUCGAGUCCGGAAGAGGUGAGUGGAAUUCCUAGUGUAGAGGUGAAAUUCGUAGAUAUCAGGAGGAACACCGGUGGCGAAGGCGGAUCUCUGGGCCUUACCUGACGCUGAGGCGCGAAAGCUAGGGGAGCGAACAGG